GGCAAGGUGGCCGAGUGGUUAUGGCGCAGGUUUCAGGCUCUGAGACUUCUGCUUAGGUAAAUCCUACCUGUGGGUAAAACCGCGUGGGUUCGAAUCCCACCCUUGUCA